GUAGAUAGAUCAUUUUCACAACUUAAUAAAGAAUGAAUACGAAGGGUUAUUCACCAGGCAUGCGGUAAUCCGCGUAAACAGGUUAUUCUCACAGAUUAAUAAGAAAUAGAAUGACAACCCUUAUUCGUAUGAAGAAAAUUGUGACGCCCCCAAAAUUAGGUAUACAUCACCCAUCUUGGGUCGUCAGAUACAUGGUACAGAAUUCAAAUACAACUUACUAAUAUAACUGUCGUGUACAAUACGACAAAACAUAAACUGUGAUUUUAAAUACAAAUAUUGUCUACUAGAGAUUAUACAAACUCAAAAGGAGUCCUCAUUAUAAUUAUUAUCACACUAUUUCAGAGAAUAGUGAGGACUACUAAUGCUAUCCUCUAGACCAUUACUCCGUUCCCCGACUCGUCCUAGCUAUAUUUUCAUUUC
rnacentral:lncRNA from 1 species